UUCUAAUCAUGCCAGACUCCAUCACACCCCACAUUCUCUUUUAUUCUUAACUGCUCUGCCUCUCUCCUGAGCUGUACUGACACUCAUCAAAGCACCCAAGAAGAAAAUGGCUGUCAGUAAAGAACCUGUGCUAGGAUUUUUCAUCAUGGCUGUCCUGAUGAACCCUCAGGAAUCCUGGGCUAUCAAAGAGGAACAUGUGAUCAUCCAGGCCGAGUUCUAUCUGGCUCCUGACCAAUCAGGAGAGUUUAUGUUCGACUUUGAUGGUGAUGAGAUUUUCCAUGUGGAUAUGGAAAAGAAAGAAACAGUCUGGCGGCUUGAAGAAUUUGGACAGUUUGCCAGCUUUGAGGCUCAGGGUGCAUUGGCCAACAUAGCUGUGGACAAAGCCAACCUGGAGAUCAUGAUAAAGCGCUCCAACAGCACCCCAGAUACCAACGUGCCGCCAGAGGUAACUGUGCUCACGAACAGCCCUGCGGAACUGGGAGAGCCCAAUGUCCUCAUCUGUUUCAUUGACAAGUUCUCCCCGCCGGUGGUCAAUGUCACGUGGCUUCGAAAUGGAAAACCUGUCACCACAGGGGUGUCAGAGACAGUCUUCCUGCCCAGGGAAGACCACCUUUUCCGCAAGUUCCACUAUCUGCCCUUCCUGCCUUCAGACAAGGACGUCUAUGACUGCAGAGUGGAGCACUGGGGUUUGGAUGAGCCUCUUCUCAAGCACUGGGAGUUUGAUGCACCAACUCCGCUCCCCGAGACUACAGAGAAUGUGGUGUGUGCCCUGGGCCUGGUUGUGGGUCUGGUGGGCAUCAUUGCUGGCACCGUCUUCAUCAUCAAGGGUGUGCACAAGAGCAACGCUGUGGAACGCCGGGGCCCUCUGUGAGGCACGUGGAGGGGGGUUUGGUGUGGCCAGAGGAAGACAUAUACAGGGUGCCUGAGGGAAAGAAAACAGAGUGGGUGGUGUAAAGGAGAAAAGGACAUGUGAUGCCUUUAAGAGAAAGGGUAGGAACAGAUGAGGCUCUGGAAUUCUCCUUGUUAGAUAGGAUCAGACAUUGGCACCUUCUGGUGUCCCAAAGCUUCAACGUCUCUCAGCCAUUUCUGUAGAUGCACAGCUAGAACACACCUUCAAUCCGGGAGAUCAUCUCCAGUGCCCAGUACCUAAGGCCUUGGUUUCAUAUUAGAAUACUAAUCCAGAGUUCAGUAAUCUAGGAAGAUAAUCCUCGGGUUCUUCUUGGCUUCUAUUUCCUCAGGCAGGACAUCAGUUCAGAAGCUUUUUGCAGAGCCUGGCUUUUGGGGUUAGGGUAGUUUGACCGCAUGAAAUGGAAAUCUCUUAGAGGUCAAAUGACCAAGUGCAAUCAAAAACUCUAAGAAAAAGGUGAUGGUGUUUCUCAGGGAGACCACUGAAAAAAUUUCUGCUUUAAUAGUUUUACAAAGCUGGCAAUACUCCCAGUUGCUGACUUCAGUGAAAACAGCCACCUUCAGCCAUUUCCAGACCUUUAGCCACCCCAAAAGUGGUGAUCCCUUCCCUGAUCUCUCAAUACUCCAACAUCUGGUUGGAUUCCGUGACUGUUGCCCUGUCCUGUAUCAGUUUUACUUCUAUUUUCCAUUAUUUUAUUAUUACCAUGCAAUUCAUCUGAAAUAAACUCCUUCUAGACAUCCCACAGGGGCAUCUCCUGUGUACCUGUUGUUUAGGGUUUCUUCAAACUGAUUUUUCUAAAUACAACAAAUUAUCCUGAUAGGUCUUAAGUGGAAUUUUUGUCUCUUGAACUAGUUCUUUGGUCGGGGGAGAGGAAGGAGCUGGGGAAUAUGUGUGAUCCUUGCAUCUUGAAAUACCUGAUUGCUGAAUGUGUCUUAUAAGCUCUGGAGUAAUACAAAUGUCCAGGUUCGUUAGGGCUUGGUUUCAUUCCAAGCAUCUGCAGGCGACCCUGUUGCCAUGGUCUAGACCUCAGCAGGAAAACCCUAACACUGGUUGUCUGUUGGGAGAUCCUUCCUGAGCAGUGGGUUCAGAAUCUGGUUUUGGUUCUUGAGACUGCAAGUCAAUGACAUAUCUGUAUCCUCAGUAGAGUGAACUUCAAACCCCGGGUUUUAGCCUCUGCAAAUGGGUGCACCAGAUGGAGGGGAGCAGAUGAGGGUGGAGUGCGGAGCAGAAGAAGAGGGUCCACAUACAUUAUGGGAUGUGCAGGUCAAGACCACCCAGUUCAGACUUACUCAGGAAUGAGACUGGACACUAAAGACUGUCAUUAGCCAUUCAAUUAAACAUGGCCUCAGAUGCCCACUUCACUCCCGGGAGAAUAGGCUGACGUAUGCUUGGAACCAUAUUAUAUUUGGAUGUGUUUGUUUGAGUGGAAAGUGAAAGGGGAGGGGGGACAGGAUAUGGCACUAAAUGAGAGGAAAGUAUGUGAAACACAGUGAGCUAUUAUUGCUCUUUUAUAAAUUUAGUUUUUCUAAAAUGGUUGUGAGAACCUACCAAAAAUCAUAAAGAGUAUUCGUGACAGCAUGAAUAGACUGCAAAUAAGUGGCUCUACCACUGACUAUGACUUCAUGGGUAUCUUAAUUUAGCCUCAGAUUCCUCAUGAAAAUAUUGAUGUUAAUUUUUGUUGCAUUGAGUCAUUUUCAGAAUUAAAGGGAAAAUGUAAGCAAAGCAAUUAGGUACUAUGCUUAGUGGUAAUAAAAUAUUUCAAAAAUUAUA